CGCUUUAAUUUCAGACGCGGGUCAGCAAAACACCGCCACGGAGAACACAUAAACCAUCGGGAUAUCUCAUUAUAGAAACCUCUGCCAAAGUCUAUUCGGAUCCAGGUUCGCGCAGUGCCCCUCCGAAGCUCAAUGGGGGGAGAAGCGGCGAUCGUUGAGGAGAGUGUGGAAAUUCAUUUCGUUUUUACGGCGAUCCGAAAACCCCCGUUUGUGAAGAGGAGCCGCUCUGACCGCAGCAGUUCUGCACUGGCCUUUUUUGGGGGGAGAAAAGAAAAGGAUUUGGGGAUGUUUCUGAUGUAUCGGGGUGGAAUGGAGGGAGUUGGGGGCCAAAGGGGUGAGGGAGUGGGGAUGGGGGGGCACUGGGGGGGGGGGGGGAGAAUGUCCGAGAGACGGCAAUGGGGAUUGGCUUUGGGGCAGCGGAGGAAAUUUGGCUUCAGCUCUAUCCCUGCGGCGGAUCGAAUCCCCGGGGGCUGCGGGACAGGAGGAGCCAACCCAGGCCUUUUUGGUAUUAUUUUUCAUGGUCUUUUUAAAAUUGUACUUUUAAAUUAUUUUCCUUUCAUUUUUCCUUUCCUUUCCUUUCCUUUCCUUUCCUUUCCUUUCCUUUCCUUUCCUUUCCUUUCCUUUCCUUUCCUUUCCUUUCCUUUCCUUUCCUUUCCUUUCCUUUCCUUUCCUUUCCUUUCCUUUCCUUUCCUUUCCUUUCCUUUCCUUUCCUUUCCUUUCCUUUCCUUUCCUUUCCUUUCCUUUCCUUUCCUUUCCUUUCCGUUCCGUUCCGUUCCUUCCCUUCCCUUCCCUUCCCUUCCCUUCCCUUCCCUUCCCUUCCCUUCCCUUCCCUUCCCUUCCCUUCCCUUCCCUUCCCUUCCCUUCCCUUCCCUUCCCUUCCCUUCCCUUCCCUUCCCUUCCCUUCCCUUCCCUUCCCUUCCCUUCCCUUCCCUUCCCUUCCCUUUUCCCUAUCACAUUUCACUUUACUUCCCUUCUUUCAUGUUAUUUUCCUCCAUUUCGCCCAUUUCCAUCAUUUUCCUUCCUCUUCCUUCUCCCUCCCUCACAUUUUCCCCCUUCUCUCCCUCCUCCGCACCCGCGGAGCGGUGCGGAUCGCGGGGCCGCGGGCGGGAGGAGCCGUCGGGGCCGCCCGUCUGUCUGUGUGGGCGGGGGCGGCCCCGCAAAGUGAAGGUCAAAGUGAAGGCUCCGUCCGCCCCUCCGCGCCGCUCCGCCGCAACGCCACGGCCGCCUCAGAGCCGCUCUUUGCUUCGGACCCCCCCACAGCCGCCCCCUCCCCUCCAUAUCCACCACGGGGGGAGGAGGGGGAGCAGAGAGCAAGAUGCAAACGCGUCUGCCGUGGAGGAAAUUAAACGUCAUAAAGAAAAGCCCAAUUAAGGUUUAAUGUCUGAACAUGACCAUUUCCUCCAGAAAACAAUGAAGUUCGCUCGCCAUACGCGGUCACAGCAAAACCCUCCAACCCCAAACGACGGAGUAAUGCCAAGAGGACUUCUGAUGCUGCACGGGACCGUGCGGAGCCGCGGUGCCACGAAGCAAAUCCAUUCCUGAGGGGGGUUUUUUGCCCCCAUCCCUCCUCUUCUCCAACUCCAAACGAGAGACAGAAGUGCCGUUGCACGCGUGGGUGUCCUCCGGGGGUAAAGGGGUGCGUGUGCACGGGAAGGGCUGGUGCGUGGGGCAUCCCUGCAUGGAGGUGGGUGAGGAUGAGCGUUCCUCAUCCCUUCACCUUCCUCCCGUCCACCGGCAGUGUUUGCUUUCCCAGCCCGAGCUCCGGGUUGGGCGGAGGUCCCCCCGUGAAGCAGCAAAAGGAUUUCUCUUCGUUUCGUUCCGAGCGACGCGGGUGUGAAGGAGAAAACCCAUUGCCGCAAAUGGGGACGGUCGGAGCCAGUCCCCAAAAACGGGCUGAGAUUCCCCCUACGCUCAAUGGGCGUUCGGGGGAAGUGCAAUUAUAUAUAUCUAUAUAAAUAAUAAUAAAAAUGGGGGGAUGCGGGAGCCGAGGUAUUAAAGAGCACCGAGGAAAGGAACUGACUUCCUGAGUGCUUAAGGAUUAAUACCGCUCCUGCAAACGUGUGUGUGGUUUUAAUAGGGCUGCGAGGAUUAACUGCCCACCUUCCAUUCCGAGCGCCGCUCGAAAAGAGCAUUUCAGGGCUAUUUUGCUAAUAUACGGUCUGCCCGGCAGAAAGCACAUUUUCCCUGCCACCAUUUCCGACUUUUUUGCCCAGUUUCGCACGUUUUGAUGUCACUGUUUAAGUUAUCAAGCCUGGAGAAUAAAGGGAUUUUCUUACUGAUGAA
ensembl:lncRNA